rnacentral:rRNA from 1 species
GAUGAACGCUGACGGCGUGCCUAAUACAUGCAAGUCGAGCGAACGGACGAGAAGCUUGCUUCUCUGAUGUUAGCGGCGGACGGGUGAGUAACACGUGGAUAACCUACCUAUAAGACUGGGAUAACUUCGGGAAACCGGAGCUAAUACCGGAUAAUAUUUUGAACCGCAUGGUUCAAAAGUGAAAGACGGUCUUGCUGUCACUUAUAGAUGGAUCCGCGCUGCAUUAGCUAGUUGGUAAGGUAUCGGCUUACCAAGGCAACGAUGCAUAGCCGACCUGAGAGGGUGAUCGGCCACACUGGAACUGAGACACGGUCCAGACUCCUACGGGAGGCAGCAGUAGGGAAUCUUCCGCAAAGGGCGAAAGCCUGACGGAGCAACGCCGCGUGAGUGAUGAAGGUCUUCGGAUCGUAAAACUCUGUUAUUAGGGAAGAACAUAUGUGUAAGUAACUGUGCACAUCUUGACGGUACCUAAUCAGAAAGCCACGGCUAACUACGUG